GAUGAACGCUGGCGGCGUGCCUAAUACAUGCAAGUCGAGCGAACAGACGAGGAGCUUGCUCCUCUAACGUUAGCGGCGGACGGGUGAGUAACACGUGGAUAACCUACCUAUAAGACUGGGAUAACUUCGGGAAACCGGAGCUAAUACCGGAUAAUAUAUUGAACCGCAUGGUUCAAUAGUGAAAGACGGUGUUGCUGUCACUUAUAGAUGGAUCCGCGCCGCAUUAGCUAGUUGGUAAGGUAACAGCUUACCAAGGCAACGAGGCGUAGCCGACCUGAGAGGGUGAUCGGCCACACUGGAACUGAGACACGGUCCAGACUCCUACGGGAGGCAGCAGUAGGGAAUCUUCCGCAAUGGGCGAAAGCCUGACGGAGCAACGCCGCGUGAGUGAUGAAGGUCUUCGGAUCGUAAAACUCUGUUAUUAGGGAAGAACAAAUGUGUAAGUAACUAUGCACGUCUUGACGGUACCUAAUCAGAAAGCCACGGCUAACUACGUG
rnacentral:rRNA from 1 species